UCGUGCUAGAUGGGGAGCUAGCGGUGCCCUGUAACCUGCAAUCCGCUAUAGCAGGAUUGAAUUCUCAUUAUAGGCUUUAAUCCAUUUGGUCAGUCUAAUACAAGUGGUGUUGAGAAUCGGGUCCCAUGCAGCAGAAACUCGUGAAUUCCGUCAGAUCUGGAAGGAAGCAGCGGUAAAUGAUAACUUCUGAGUGCCGUGGAUAAACCUAGUUUGAGCUAACUAUAUUGGUAGCGCAAGUAUGUUAAUUGUCAACAAUGAGUGCACGU
rfam:Clostridium beijerinckii NCIMB 8052, complete genome.